CGGGGUAUAGCGCAGUUUGGUAGCGCACCUGCCUUGGGAGCAGGGUGUCGCAGGUUCGAAUCCUGCUACUCCGACCA
rnacentral:tRNA from 1 species